CCUACGGGUGGCUGCAGUGGGGAAUAUUGGGCAAUGGAGGCAACCCUGAUCCAGCAACGCCGCGUGAAGGAAGAAGGCCUUAGGGUUGUAAACUGAUGUCGUAAAGGAAGAAAAGAAUGAAGGUACUUUACAAGAAAGUCCCGGCUAACAAUGGGCCAGAAGCCGUGGUAAGACAUAGGGGGCAAGAGUUGUUCGGAAUUAGUGGGCGUAAAGGGAGCGUAGGCGGGAGCUUAAGUUAAGAGUGAAAGCCUUGGGCUGAACCCAGGAAAUGCUCUUAAUACUGGUUUUCUAGAGUGUGGGAGAGGUAAGUGGAAGUCCUGGUGUAGCGGUGGAAUGCGUAGAGAUUAGGAGGAACAUCAGAGGCGAAGGCGGAUUACUGGACCAAGACUGACGCUGAGGCUCGAAAGCGUGGGGAGCAAACAGGAUUAGAUACCCGGGUAGUC
rnacentral:rRNA from 1 species